AACACUGCAAGACACCCUGUAUAUAUAUAUGUGUGUGUGUGUAUAUCACAGUUCCGAAAUUUCAAUCCCGUAAAUAAACACCCUAAUCGAUGUAUCGUAGAGUUUACGGUAAUACAGUUAUAUACGAAUAUGCUUGGAAACACGAAUAUUAGUGAAAAAGUGCAAUUUCUAAAAUGUAACUGUACUGUGAAAACUAAUGCCAAUUAAAUAUUCGACUACUCUGUCGUUGUUUUUACUCUGUUUCGCGCUGUUUGUACUGUAGCGUUGUGCCUCGAC